rnacentral:other from 1 species
UGAGCCCUGCUGUGUACGUGUAGUUCCAUGUUUUGAUCCAACACAUUGACCUAGGGAGCUCUGGCUCUGAUUAUGUCGUGUAUGCCUUUCUCAAGGAACAUUUAAGUAAUCAGGAGGGCGCCCACCUGCUUAGAGCAGGUUCAAAACAGGGUGAGACGGCAUGGUGGGGAUUCG